rnacentral:rRNA from 1 species
AACGCGAAGAACCUUACCUGGGCUAGAAAACGUGCGAACCUGGUAGAAAUAUAAACGCUCUUCGGAGCCGCUGAACAGGUGCUGCAUGGCUGUCGUCAGCUCGUGCCGUGAGGUGUUGGGUUAAGUCCCGCAACGAGCGCAACCCUUAUCGUUAGUUGCCAACAGGUAAUGCUGGGAACUCUAGCGAGACUGCCUGGGUUAACCAGGAGGAAGGUGAGGAUGACGUCAAGUCCGCAUGGCCCUUAUGUCUGGGGCUACACACGUGCUACAAUGGUCGGUACAGAAGGCAGCGAAACCGUGAGGUGAAGCAAAUCCCUAAAGCCGGCCCCAGUUCAGAUUGUAGUCUGCAACUCGACUACAUGAAGAUGGAAUUGCUAGUAAUGGCGAGUCAGCAACAUCGCCGUGAAUACGUUCCCGGGCCUUGUACACACCGAGUAUA